GAUUUUAAUUGAAAAAGUCAUCAACAACAAAGUUGAAUAACUCAUCAAGAUCUAAAACUUUUAUUUUUGUUAUUUCUUCAUCCGACGAAAUGUUAGUAAUAUUAUUCACAAAUUUUACAUAUAUGUGUUAUAGUUUAUAAAACCAGAUAAGAGAUAUGUCAAUUUUGUGAACAAUGUUACUAUCACUUUGUCGUAUGAAGAAAUGACCAAAAUAAAAGUUUUAGAUCUUGAUGAGUUAUUCAACUUUGUUGUUGAUGACUUUUUCAGUUGAUAUC
rnacentral:pre_miRNA from 1 species